UCGGCACAUACCAGGGUGACGUGGGCGUAGCGCGCCGAGAUAGAGCCGUCGAGGGCGUGGGUUCAAAUCCCGCUGUGCCGAACC
rnacentral:tRNA from 1 species